UGAACAGCUGUCUACAACAAAUUUAAUUACGAUGUAUGAAUCACUCUUUUACCUUUCCGUCGAAUGCCUGUUCGAAUAUAGGCCUACUCUGAAAGCAGACUACGUAAGAAGAAACUAGGUGGUAUCCUGUAUACAUAUAUUGAUAUGUAUACUAAUAGGCCUAUAGACAUUCAACACUGACCGUACUUAUAACCCUUUAGGCCUAGACCUACAAAUUAUAAUAGAAAAUCACAUGGACAUUACAGCACGUGUUCCGAACGAGACUACAGAAGAAUUGACGGAAACUGAUAUCCCAGCCACACGGUGUGUUGACAGCAAAGAAUACAGAAGUGGCGGCAGGACACGUGUUUGUGAAUACGAGUGCUGUGAUACCAGUUGCUGCGCUAUUUGGUCAAAGCGAACACAUAUGGGAAACUGGACAGUUGUAGCCAUUGUUGGUUUCUGGAUAAUCGUGGUGUGUGUUAUUGCGGCCAUCGUCCGGUAUUACGUCAGGGUGCGGCGGCGACGACAACAUCCGUUCCUGAAGACGUCAGGACGGGAAUUUGAAUUUUUGCACUAUGAGCAGCAGCACGGGCAAGACCUGUAAUGAGGUGGUCAGUCUCAUGCUCGAGAGGUUCAAACACGCUGUCAUGGGCACACACUUCAGCUAUUUGGACUGCCGGACAAGUACAGAGGGUUAGUGCUGCUCGAGCUACUUACUGUAUUAGCAAUACAGAGUACAGUGUCUAAGCGCAAUCUUUUGGCGUCGUCCUUAUAAAUACGGUUGCUGUAGAAACUACUGUUGUGUAUACUACUAUCUAAGGUAAGCAGCAACAACCACGACAACAAAAUGAUUGAGAUGCUAUAACCGCCUCGGGCUUAUCUUCCUGAAAUCCAGACAUUAGUGUUGGGUACCGAGGGUAUCAGGACUCGAAAGGUCCACCUCCACCGUACUAAUCUUUAGAAAUUCGACUGCGCUUAGCUGAACUCUUAAUCCAUACGGAUCUCUAGAAAUUCGACUGUGUGUAGCUAAGAUCUUCUCCACACGACUCUCUAGAAAUUUUACCGCACGUUAACAAGUUACCUGCACCAUAUUAUUAAUUUCUUAACAUUAUAUAGACUGGUAAUACUAUCCUUUAUAAGGCUCUCCAGACAUUUUGCUGCGAGUAGCUGAACUCUGUACAGCUCUCUAAAAGUGCGAUGCGUGAUUAACUUGAUACUGUGGUAAAUACAUUCCAUAUGUACUGUGUUGUAGUAUAACAUAUCAACUGUUUGUUAACACAAUUUUAAUGAUAUGCUAUUUUGUUUACACAUUUAUGAUUGUAUAGCGUUAUUAAUAUAGUUUAUUAACAUCAUUUUUAAUUAGUUAACCUAAAGCUACGUAUUAUCAUGGCACUCCCCAUGUUAACCAUUACAAAUAGGUAUAAACAAGAAUGUUUGUAUACUUUCUCACACACAUGGUACUACAUACCAAGACAUUUUAUAUAGCAGUCGUCAAGUAUUGCUUAGAACUAGAGAUAUAUCAAACGUCCAUUAAUGUGAGUUGACCUUACGAUUCGUCGCACAUCGAGCGAACGAUAUAUCCAUGAGCACGUCUGCAUUCUGCUCUGUUGUUGUAUUACAAACUCUUUUAACGUUUCGAGCACGCCUGGCACGGGCUUAACAUCUGACAUUGCCAGUGACUAUGUCCGGGCCAGGAGGGGGGGGGGGGGGGGGGGGUAAGUUUGAAAUGGGCAGAGUUUGGAAUAAACAUUUAGAAGUUAGGUCAGAGACCUAAGACCAAAUGCAGCCGACUCACUCACUCUACUCAUGUCUGAAAAAAACCUUAAGUCCAAACAUAAAAUUUAAAAAGCUCGGCCGAAAAGGUUUUAAGUUGAUUUUAGCUAUUUAGACGGGCUGCCAAAAUAAAGUGCGUCGGACUU
rnacentral:misc_RNA from 1 species